rnacentral:rRNA from 1 species
AGUGAACGCUGGCGGUAGGCCUAACACAUGCAAGUCGAACGGCAGCACAGUAAGAGCUUGCUCUUACGGGCGGCGAGUGGCGGACGGGUGAGGAAUACAUCGGAAUCUACUCUUUCGUGGGGGCUAACGUAGGGAAACUUACGCUAAUACCGCAUACGACCUACGGGUGAAAGCAGGGGAUCUUCGGACCUUGCGCGAUUGAAUGAGCCGAUGUCGGAUUAGCUAGUUGGCGGGGUAAAGGCGCACCAAGGCGACGAUCCGUAGCUGGUCUGAGAGGAUGAUCAGCCACACUGGAACUGAGACACGGUCCAGACUCCGACGGUAGGCAGCAGUGGGGAAUAUUGGACGAUGGGCGCAAGCCUGAUCCAGCCAUACCGCGUGAGUGAAGAAGGACUUCGGGUUGUUAAGCCCUUUUGUUGUGAAAGAAAAGCAGCAGGUUUAUACCCCGCUGUUCUGACGGUACCCAAAGAAUAAGCACCGGCUAACUUCGUG